rnacentral:lncRNA from 1 species
GCGAAGUUUACAUGACAACAACAGCUGUCAGAUGAUUCCAGUUCUGCUAGAGGUGAUGAUGAUCUUAAUUUCCUAACAAACAUUAUUACUUCAGCUUUUUCAUUCUCAAAAUGCAGUAUUUUGUGAAAUUUAAUACAGAAAAAUAGAACCUUUGUAGUUCUAUUUGUAUUUCUGGUAUCUAGAAAUACACAUGACAGUGAAAUGCAUCUUGGAACAAAAGCAGAUAUAUAGGCCUGUUGAAAAGAACACAGUUUUGAAAUUAAAGUAGUGACAUGAAAACUGUCUGGAGAAAAUCUAUCACCCUUGUGUUAAGACCAGUCAGAGAGAAUGCACUCAACUAACAUGCAGAUUCUUUAAUGUGUAUUGCCUUCAGAUGUCUACAGGUAAGUUAGAUAUGUAAGUUCCUGUUAUGUUCUUCAAAACCUGUGCCAUAGAAAGACCAGAAUUCCUAUUAAUGCUUGCAAAAUACCAUCAGAGGAAGUUUUACCAUGGAAACCUGACUUCCUGACCUCAGUGGCUGAAUUUCUUUUAUGAUGCUAAAAUCUUAAUGAAUAGAACAGUAGAAACAGCUCCACAAAUUGAAUAAAAAUCUAAAAGAUGAUUCUCUUUUUUCAAACCUAGUAGAUAAAAAAGGUAUUUGUCUUUUUUAAACUAUUUAAGAACUCAGUUCCUUAGAAUGAUAGCUCUAUCUUACUCUGAACCAUAUGAAUAAAUAUAUCCCCUUUGCUUUGAGUAAUGUCAAAAAACAAAAAUAACAACAACAAAAAAUAUUUCAUUUGUGAUUAUGUAAAUCAAUGGUAGCUGAGAUUAGUUUCCAGACACAAAUGGUCAUUCUUACAUACAUGAUACUUGAGUCUGGACUCUGAGAAGCUGACACCAGAUAGAGUACAACUGAUUUUCUGUGUAUAUGUGGACAUUGCUCAGUGCAGAAUCCAGUGAAGUAUAUUAAAUGGAGAUUACAGUAACCAAAAGA